GCGUCGGUGGUGGAACAGUUAGCAUACGCUCCCGCGAAGAGUGAAAUCUGGGUUAGAAUCCCGGCUGACGCA